rnacentral:rRNA from 1 species
CUUUGUGACAUACCUAUAACUGUUGCUUCGGCGGGUAGGGUCUCCGUGACCCUCCCGGCCUCCCGCCCCCGGGCGGGUCGGCGCCCGCCGGAGGAUAACCAAACUCUGAUUUAACGACGUUUCUUCUGAGUGGUACAAGCAAAUAAUCAAAACUUUUAACAACGGAUCUCUUGGUUCUGGCAUCGAUGAAGAACGCAGCGAAAUGCGAUAAGUAAUGUGAAUUGCAGAAUUCAGUGAAUCAUCGAAUCUUUGAACGCACAUUGCGCCCGCCAGCAUUCUGGCGGGCAUGCCUGUUCGAGCGUCAUUUCAACCCUCAAGCUCUGCUUGGUGUUGGGGCCCUACAGCUGAUGUAGGCCCUCAAAGGUAGUGGCGGACCCUCCCGGAGCCUCCUUUGCGUAGUAACUUUACGUCUCGCACUGGGAUCCGGAGGGACUCUUGCCGUAAAACCCCCCAAUUUUCCAAAGGUUGACCUCGGAUCAGGUAGGAAUACCCGCUGAACUUAAGCAU